GUCCUUAUAUUUCACCAAUUUUCUUGCGAAGUCCUCAUGUUGCACCCAUUUUCUUUUUUUCAGAUGUGCCGUUCGAUGUUACGCGCAACUUUAAUUAUGGUCUGCAGAUUUGUUCACAAAUGUGAGUCACGGCGCCGUGGCAUUUUACUUGAUAUUUGAACGAGAACGACAGGUGCAGUGCGCACGCACAAAAAAGCAAAUGACGGGAGGGGGAAGAAAGGGGAAUGAGUUUAUGUAUUAGCAGCGCAAAAUUAAACAGUUGCCAUCAU
rnacentral:lncRNA from 1 species